rnacentral:pre_miRNA from 1 species
GCUAUUCCACAGCUUUCUUGAACUUUCUUGAACUGCUUUUUAUAAUUUUUGUAUAUAGCACCAUACAUGGAAGCUCAAGAAAGCUGUGGGAAAAC